AACACCAGUGGCGAAGGCGGCUGUCUGGUCUGCAACUGACGCUGAGGCUCGAAAGCAUGGGUAGCGAACAGGAUUAGAUACCCUGGUAGUCCAUGCCGUAAACGAUGAGUGCUAGGUGUUGGAGGGUUUCCGCCCUUCAGUGCCGGAGCUAACGCAUUAAGCACUCCGCCUGGGGAGUACGACCGCAAGGUUGAAACUCAAAGGAAUUGACGGGGGCCCGCACAAGCGGUGGAGCAUGUGGUUUAAUUCGAAGCUACGCGAAGAACCUUACCAGGUCUUGACAUCUUGCGCUAACCUUAGAGAUAAGGCGUUCCCUUCGGGGACGCAAUGACAGGUGGUGCAUGGUCGUCGUCAGCUCGUGUCGUGAGAUGUUGGGUUAAGUCCCGCAACGAGCGCAACCCUUGUUACUAGUUGCCAGCAUUAAGUUGGGCACUCUAGUGAGACUGCCGGUGACAAACCGGAGGAAGGUGGGGACGACGUCAGAUCAUCAUGCCCCUUAUGACCUGGGCUACACACGUGCUACAAUGGACGGUACAACGAGUCGCAAAUUCGCGAGAGUAAGCUAAUCUCUUAAAGCCGUUCUCAGUUCGGACUGUAGGCUGCAACUCGCCUACACGAAGUCGGAAUCGCUAGUAAUCGCGGAUCAGCAUGCCGCGGUGAAUACGUUCCCGGGCCUUGUACACACCGCCCGUCACACCAUGGGAGUUUGUAACGCCCAAAGUCGGUGGCCUAACCUUUAUGGAGGGAGCCGCCUAAGGCGGGACAGAUGACUGGGGUGAAGUCGUAACAAGGUAGCCGUAGGAGAACCUGCGGCUGGAUCACCUCCUUUCUAAGGAA
rnacentral:rRNA from 2 species